GACGAACGUUGGCGGCGUGCUUAAUACAUGCAAGUCCACUGAAGCAGUGGUAGCAAUAUCGCUGUGGAGGUGGCGCACGGGUGAGUAACACGUAGGUAAUCUGCCUUCAGGUCUGGCAUAACUCCGGGAAACCGGGGCUAAUAGCAGAUGAUGCAGCGGCUCGACAUCGAGACGGUUGUUAAAGCUAUGGCGCCUGAAGAUGAGCCUGCGUCUGAUUAGCUAGUUGGCGGGGUAACGGCCCACCAAGGCAACGAUCAGUAGCUGGUCUGAGAGGAUGAUCAGCCACACUGGAACUGAGACACGGUCCAGACUCCUACGGGAGGCAGCAGUAAGGAAUAUUGCUCAAUGGGAGAAAUCCUGAAGCAGCAACGCCGCGUGAGGGACGAAGGGCUUUUGCUUGUAAACCUCUGUAGUGAGAGAAAAAAAUCCCAAUCUUUGGGACAUGAUGGUAUCUCAAAAGUAAGCCCCGGCUAACUACGUG
rnacentral:rRNA from 1 species